AUGGACCAAUCCAUCCCUUUUUCCCGUGCAUAUGCAUCGGACUCGGAUGAUGAUGGUCCCGAUGAAGAAGUUGAUGAGGAGGGGUUCACGCCGAAGGAGGCCGAAGCAUUCAAGAAGGUAUUCGAGCGGGAUCACAAGACACCAUUGUUCAAGGAUCUUAGUCUCGCGGAUGAAGCCGUUGUGGAUGGUGGCAAAUGCAUAUCUCUUGGAGCUAGGCCAAGUUCUCACCGUGAUUUGGAAGACGGCAAGAACGGGAUAUAUCCCGGUUGUGAGUUUCAAUCCUUCUUGGAAUUGAAGAUGUGGCUCAACAACUACUCGGUUACACAUUAUCGUCCACAUAAAGUGGACAACUCGGACGUGAAUGUGCGUCACACGGUCAAAUGUGAAGUGCCAACAUGUCCAUGGAUUGUGCGUGCAAGGCCAUGGAAAGGAGGUCCCACUUGGCGCAUAGUGAGUUGUCUACCAACUCACAUGUGCCGGCACAAGAGGGCGGAUGGCAAGCUUGUGUACCAACAACACAGACAACUCACAUCCGAGUUCAUCGCUUACAGGCUUUCCAACCAAAUAUCCACACUUCCAACAAUGAGCAUCAAGAGUGUCAUUGACCUUGUGAAAGCCAUCUUUCAUUACAAGGUGAAGUACGGCAAGGCAUGGAAGGCGAAGUAG
rnacentral:rRNA from 1 species